UACUUUUGUAUAUUGGGUAGGGGAGCGUUCUGUAAGCGGUUGAAGGUGUGUGGUAACGCAUGCUGGACGUAUCAGAAGUGCGAAUGCUGACAUGAGUAACGAUAAAGGGGGUGAAAAACCUCCUCGCCGGAAGACCAAGGGUUCCUGUCCAACGUUAAUCGGGGCAGGGUAAGUCGACCCCUAAGGCGAGGCCGAAAGGCGUAGUCGAUGGGAAACGGGUUAAUAUUCCCGUACUUCUUACAAUUGCGAUGGGGGGACGGAGAAGGCUAGGUGGGCCUGGCGACGGUUGUCCAGGUUCAAGUGCGUAGGCUUAAGAGUUAGGUAAAUCCGGCUCU
rnacentral:rRNA from 1 species